rnacentral:rRNA from 1 species
AAAUUGAAGAGUUUGAUCAUGGCUCAGAUUGAACGCUGGCGGCAGGCCUAACACAUGCAAGUCGAACGGUAACAGGAAGCAGCUUGCUGCUUUGCUGACGAGUGGCGGACGGGUGAGUAAUGUCUGGGAAACUGCCUGAUGGAGGGGGAUAACUACUGGAAACGGUGGCUAAUACCGCAUAACGUCGCAAGACCAAAGAGGGGGACCUUCAGGCCUCUUGCCAUCAGAUGUGCCCAGAUGGGAUUAGCUUGUUGGUGAGGUAACGGCUCACCAAGGCGACGAUCCCUAGCUGGUCUGAGAGGAUGACCAGCCACACUGGAACUGAGACACGGUCCAGACUCCUACGGGAGGCAGCAGUGGGGAAUAUUGCACAAUGGGCGCAAGCCUGAUGCAGCCAUGCCGCGUGUAUGAAGAAGGCCUUCGGGUUGUAAAGUACUUUCAGCGGGGAGGAAGGUGUUGUGGUUAAUAACCGCAGCAAUUGACGUUACCCGCAGAAGAAGCACCGGCUAACUCCGUGCCAGCAGCCGCGGUAAUACGGAGGGUGCAAGCGUUAAUCGGAAUUACUGGGCGUAAAGCGCACGCAGGCGGUC